AACGAACGCUGGCGGCACGUUUUAAGCAUGCAAGUCGAACGGCAGUGGGGGUAACCCCAUGAGAGUGGCGAACGGGUGAGUAACACGUAGGUGAUCUGCCUUGAGGAUGGGGAUAGCUUGUGGAAACACAGGGUAAUACCGAAUAAGCUGGCGCGACUUUGGUUGUGUUAGUAAAGGUGCUACGGCACCGCCUUGAGAGGAGCCUGCGGCUGAUUAGCUAGUUGGUGGGGUAAAGCCUACCAAGGCGACGAUCAGUAGCCGGCCUGAGAGGGUGUACGGCCACACUGGGACUGAGACACGGCCCAGACUCCUACGGGAGGCAGCAGCUAAGAAUCUUCCGCAAUGGGCGAAAGCCUGACGGAGCGAUGCCGCGUGAUCGAUGAAG
rnacentral:rRNA from 1 species